GCUUACGGCCAUACCACCCUGAACACGUCCGAUCUGGAAGCUAAGCAGGGUCGGGCCUGGUUAGUACUUGGAUGGGAGACCGGCUAGGAAUACCAGGUGCUGUAAGCU
rnacentral:rRNA from 1 species